UCCCGUGUGGUCUAGUGGCUAGGAUACGCGGCUCUCACCCGCGAGCCCGGUUCGAUUCCCGGCACGGGAA
rnacentral:tRNA from 1 species